UUGCUUUGGCGGCUCCGGCCGCCAAAGGACCUUCAAACUCCAGUCAGUAAACGCAGACGUCUGAUAAACAAGUUAAUAAACUAAAACUUUCAACAACGGAUCUCUUGGUUCUGGCAUCGAUGAAGAACGCAGCGAAAUGCGAUAAGUAAUGUGAAUUGCAGAAUUCAGUGAAUCAUCGAAUCUUUGAACGCACAUUGCGCCCCUUGGUAUUCCGGGGGGCAUGCCUGUUCGAGCGUCAUUACAACCCUCAAGCUCUGCUUGGAAUUGGGCACCGUCCUCACUGCGGACGCGCCUCAAAGACCUCGGCGGUGGCUGUUCAGCCCUCAAGCGUAGUAGAAUACACCUCGCUUUGGAGCGGUUGGCGUCGCCCGCCGGACGAACCUUCUGAACUUUUCUCAAGGUUGACCUCGGAUCAGGUAGGGAUACCCGCUGAACUUAAGCAUAUCAAUAAGCGGAGGAAAAGAAACCAACAGGGAUUGCCUUAGUAACGGCGAGUGAAGCGGCAACAGCUCAAAUUUGAAAGCUGGCCCUUUUAGGGUCCGCAUUGUAAUUUGUAGAGGAUGAUUCGGCGAGGGCUCCUGCCUAAGUCCCCUGGAACGGGGCGUCAUAGAGGGUGAGAAUCCCGUAUGCGGUAGGUUGCCUUAGCCAUGUGAAUCUCCUUCGACGAGUCGAGUUGUUUGGGAAUGCAGCUCUAAAUGGGAGGUAAAUUUCUUCUAAAGCUAAAUACCGGCCAGAGACCGAUAGCGCACAAGUAGAGUGAUCGAAAGAUGAAAAGCACUUUGGAAAGAGAGUUAAAAAGUACGUGAAAUUGUUGAAAGGGAAGCGCUUGCAACCAGACUUGUCCGCAGUUGCUCAGCCGGUCUCCUGACCGGCGUACUCUUCUGCGGCCAGGCCAGCAUCAGUUCGGGCGGUCGGAUAAAGGCCUCGGGAAUG
rnacentral:rRNA from 1 species